rnacentral:rRNA from 1 species
GGGUGAGUAACACGUAAGUAACCUGCCCUUAAGUGGGGAAUAACUCUGAGAAAUCGGAGCUAAUACCGCAUGUGGUCCUUCUCACAAUGGGGAAGAACUAAAGCCUUCGGGCGCUUGAGGAGGGGCUUGCGUACGAUUAGCUAGUUGGUGAGGUAACGGCCUACCAAGGCGACGAUCGUUAGUUGGUUUGAGAGGACGACCAGCCACACUGGGACUGAGACACGGCCCAGACUCCUACGGGAGGCAGCAGCAAGGAAUAUUGGACAAUGGGCGAAAGCCUGAUCCAGCGACACCGCGUGGGGGAAGAAGGCCCUCGGGUUGUAAACCCCUUUUCCCGGGGAAGAAUAAUGACGGUACCCGGGGAAUAAGCCCCGGCUAACUACGUGCCAGCAGCCGCGGUAAUACGUAGGGGGCGAGCGUUAUCCGGAUUUACUGGGCGUAAAGCGGGCGUAGGCGGCCUGUCAAGUCAGAUGUGAAAUCUCCCGGCUUAACUGGGAGGGUGCAUUUGAUACUGAUGGGCUAGAGUGCAGCAGAGGGAGGUGGAAUUCCCGGUGUAGUGGUGAAAUGCGUAGAUAUCGGGAGGAACACCAGUGGCGAAGGCGGCCUCCUGGGCUGUUACUGACGCUGAGACCCGAAAGCGUGGGGAGCGAACAGGAUUAGAUACCCUGGUAGUCCACGCCGUAAACGAUGGACAC